UACGGGGGGGGCAAGCGUUGUUCGGAAUUAUUGGGCGUAAAGGGUUCGUAGGUGGCCGGCUAAGUCAGACGUGAAAUCCCUCAGCUUAACUGGGGAACUGCGUCUGAGACUGAUCGGCUUGAGUGCAGGAGAGGAACGCGGAAUUCCAGGUGUAGCGGUGAAAUGCGUAGAUAUCUGGAGGAACACCGGUGGCGAAGGCGGCGUUCUGGACUGCAACUGACACUGAGGAACGAAAGCCAGGGGAGCAAACGGG
rnacentral:rRNA from 1 species